UAACCUGCCUUGGAGUGGGGAAUAACAGCUGGAAACAGCUGCUAAUACCGCAUAAUAUAUCUGUGUCGCAUGGCACUGGAUAUCAAAGAUUUAUCGCUCUGAGAUGGACUCGCGUCUGAUUAGCUGGUUGGCGGGGUAACGGCCCACCAAGGCGACGAUCAGUAGCCGGACUGAGAGGUUGGCCGGCCACAUUGGGACUGAGACACGGCCCAGACUCCUACGGGAGGCAGCAG
rnacentral:rRNA from 1 species